AUGGGGCAGCACUGCGGGGCAGGGUCGGGUCCCAGCGUCAGGUUGCUAACGAUGAUCGCCCGAGUGGCGGACAGGCUUCCACUGGCCGCGUCGAUGCAGGAGGACGAGCAGUCUGGCCGGGACCUUCAACAGUAUCAGACUCAGGCUAAGCAUCUCUUUCGAAAGUUGAAUGAACAGUCUCCUACAAGAUGUACCUUGGAAGCAGGGGCCAUGACUUUUCACUACAUUAUUGAGCAGGGAGUGUGCUAUUUGGUUUUGUGUGAAGCUGCCUUCCCUAAAAAGUUGGCUUUUGCCUACCUAGAAGAUUUACAUUCAGAAUUUGAUGAACAGCAUGGGAAGAAAGUGCCUACCGUAUCUAGACCAUAUUCCUUUAUUGAAUUUGAUACCUUCAUUCAGAAAACAAAGAAGCUCUACAUUGACAGUCGUGCCCGGAAAAACCUGGGCUCCAUCAACACUGAGUUACAAGAUGUACAGAGGAUCAUGGUGGCCAAUAUCGAGGAGGUGUUGCAAAGGGGAGAAGCACUCUCAGCAUUGGAUUCAAAGGCUAACAAUUUGUCCAGUCUGUCCAAGAAAUAUCGCCAGGAUGUGAAGUACUUGAACAUGCGUUCCACUUAUGCCAAACUUGUAGCUGUAGCUGUAUUUUUCAUCAUGUUAAUAGUGUAUGUGCGAUUCUGGUGGCUGUGAAGUAGUAAACACAGUCACUGGUAAGAGACAACCUAGAACCUGGCAGGUGUAUGUUUUCAGGAAGCUGAGCUCACAGGGAUAUGUAUUAGAACCCAAGUGGAACUUCUGCCUCUAAAGACCUUGCAAGAAAAUACAUCCUGAAAAUGAAAGUUCGCGCCUCCUUUAAUGAAGCUUAACCCUAUGUGAAAAGUCUCUUGGGGGCAGAGGCUUUCUCUGGGUGCUAAGCCAUACAUGUUAGGGAACAGUAGAUUGUUUUAUUUUUUUCCCCUCCCAGUAAGAGUUUAAAACAGCACUGACUGGGACAGUCUAAUCCUCUGAUAGAGCCAUUAAUGGGAUGUAAGGUAACCAACCCGCGCUAGCAGCAUUCGGAGUUCCUUCAAAGAAGACAGCCAUCUGGGAAGGUUUUUGACUUUAAAUAACGUUCCUUUUGUUUGUGACAUUUGUGACUUUUAGUAAGCUGAGUUUUUGAUGGCCUUUAAACCAGACUCCAAAUAUGUGAAGGUUAAUGGCUAUACUACACAGAUUCUGUCUGUUGGCCUCUAACUAAACUUUUAUUGUUUUCCUCUUAUAUUUCACUUAUUUCCUAGUUACUUUAAAGUUAAAUGAAUUAUGUUAAGAUGCUUUGAAAUUACCUAGCACUCCUUGAUUAAGAAGUUAAAGUUUUUUCUCACUCUUUGAACAUAAAGACUUAAAUUAGUUUGGGAUAUUAUUAAAUUUAUUUUGUAGCAUUUGGUUUAUAUUAAUAUAAGAGCAACAUAGCAUAGCAUAGCCAGAGCCCCAUGGCUUAAUAAAAAGAAAAGCCCAGCCUAGAACUACAGUUCGUCAACCCCCUCAUUCAGUUUGUUCACUAUAGUUUUCCCCACUCCUUGUUUCCCUUCUGCCAUAGCGUAACAUUUUAAAAAUUCCCCUGUGCCUAGUAAUUUCACAUCCCAUAAACAUCCUCAGUGUUUUCUUAAAUUUUAAAAUGAAAACUAUCCAGUUCUAUAGAUUUAAAACUUGCAGAUCACUUACUAA